UACGGGGGGGGCAAGCGUUGUUCGGAAUUACUGGGCGUAAAGGGCUCGUAGGUGGCCAACUAAGUCAGACGUGAAAUCCCUCGGCUUAACCGGGGAACUGCGUCUGAUACUGGAUGGCUUGAGUUUGGGAGAGGGACGCGGAAUUCCAGGUGUAGCGGUGAAAUGCGUAGAUAUCGGGAGGAACACCGGUGGCGAAGGCGGCGACCUGGGACAAUACUGACACUGAGGUGCGAAAGCGUGGGGAGCAAACAGG
rnacentral:rRNA from 1 species